GACAUGAUAAAUGAAAAUGAAAUAAAAAGUGUUAGUGAUAGUGAUGAUAAUAGAAAUAAUAAUAAAAAUGAAUUAUUCUGGAACAAACUUAUAAAUGAUAAAAAUAGUAAUAAUGAAAAAAAACAAGUUGAUUAUUAUUAUAGUAACGAACAAGAAAAAAAUAAUUGGAAUGAUACUACAACAUAUUAUGAUUGUAUUUCGAAGGAAGAACUUGAGAACAAUUUCAUAAUUAAUAACAUUAAUAGCGACAUGCGCACCAAAUUAAAUAGCGACAUGAGCAUCAAAUUAAGUAGCGACAUGAGCACAAAAUUAAAUAGCGACAUUAGUAGUAAAAUAGAUAGCCACCAUUUGUAUACUAAUAAACACAAACAGAAAAGUAUAAAAUCAGAAAUAUUUCAAGAAACGAACAUAGAAAUGAAUAAAGAAAAAAAAAUAACAAAUUUAAAAACUAGUUCAAACGUAUCAACAAUGAAUAAUAUAAUAAUAAAGUCUGCACAAAAUGAAAAUACAGAAGAUAAACAAUAUUAUGAUCAAACAAUGAAAAAAAAAAUAAAAAAUGAUUUAAGAGUUAUUGAUCAAUAUAAUGAUAGUAAUAUUAAUAAAAAUAAUGAUAACAAUACUAGUACUGAUAUAAAAUUAUUUGAUAGCAAUAAAAAUGAUUAUUAUGCAAAGAACUAUGUGAAAACUGAUAAUGACAUGUUUAUAAACGGAAUAAAUGACGAUGAAUAUACAUUAAAUAAAUACAAUGUAGCAGAAAAAAUAGAAAAUAUAAAGAAGGGGAGAAAAAAUGACACAAUAUUAUACGAUACUAAUGAUAGCAAUAAAAACAAUGCAAAUGCAAAGGUGAAGAACGAAAAACAGCUUAAGAUAAACAUUGGAGAAAUUGGACAAAGUAUAAUCAAUAAACAAGUAAAUAAUAAUAAAAGUAGCCAAAAUGUCGAUAGUAGUAAUAAUGAUUAUAUUGACAUAAGCAUAAAUAACAUAAUACAAAACAUAAAAAAUGAAGAAAUAAAAGAAAAAAAUAUAACUAUGGACUCCUAUGGUUUAAUUUAUUUAAAUAUUUGUUUAAAAGUGAUAAAUAAAAAUUUAGAUUAUUUUGAAAAACGUAAAGAAUUAAAAAAUGAAUUAUUAAUAAAUGAAAAAAAAAAAAUUAAAGAAAUUUUAAAAUUAUAUGAUAAAUUAUUUUAUAAUCAUUUUAAAUUCAUUCCUAAUAAAAUUUAUAAAGAAACAUUAAGACCUAUUUAUUCAUAUUAUCAAAACUUGAAACAUACUAUUAUGGAUCCAAGUUUAAGUAGUACUACUCGUGAUAAGACUGUAGCAAAAAAAUGCUCACAAACCGUUGAUAACAACUUCCAGAUAGCCAGUAAGUCGAUUGAAAAUGUGAACGAGUUACAGAAAAAAGAGUCUGUCGACUCGUUCGGACAAUACAACAAUUUAUCUAGUUUUUCAGGCGUUAUAAAAGAUAUGAGCAUAAAAAAAAUAUUAAUGCAAGUAGAUGAUAGUUCAGACAUUAGACAUUUAGAAAAAGAUUACAAAUAUAUAUAUAAAGAUUUGGUUAAAUUAAAAGGCUUAUUAUUAAAAAAAAAACAUUACAAAAAUAUACUAUUUGAGUAUCAAAAACUUUUCCUUCAAACGAAUAAUAGAUAUGUAAGGACGUAUAAGGAUAUAUACCCAGUGGAAAAAGAAUAUAAGGUUUAUACACAAAUAAAAAAGGAAACGGUAGAAUUGAUCAGCACUAUCAAUGCAAAGUAUAAUAAGUAUUACUUGAGUUUGUGA
rnacentral:lncRNA from 1 species